rnacentral:tRNA from 2 species
GGGUUGGUAGUCUAGGGGUAUGAUACUCGCUUUGGGUGCGAGUGGUCCGGGGUUCAAUUCCCCGCCAGCCCC